rnacentral:rRNA from 1 species
UACGUAGGGUGCAAGCGUUAAUCGGAAUUACUGGGCGUAAAGCGUGCGCAGGCGGUUAUAUAAGACAGAUGUGAAAUCCCCGGGCUCAACCUGGGAACUGCCUUUGUGACUGCAAGGCUAGAGUACGGCAGAGGGGGAUGGAAUUCCGCGUGUAGCAGUGAAAUGCGUAGAUAUGCGGAGGAACACCAAUGGCGAAGGCAAUCCCCUGGGCCUGUACUGACGCUCAUGCACGAAAGCGUGGGGAGCAAACAGGAUUAGAUACCCUGGUAGU